rnacentral:rRNA from 1 species
GAAGAACGCUGGCGGCGCGCCUAACACAUGCAAGUCGAGCGAAGCGGCGAACGGGUGAGUAACGCGUGAGGAACCUGCCUCUCACAACGGGAUAGCCUCGGGAAACCGGGAUUAAUACCGUAUGGUGAGAGAUGGCCUCGCUUCUUCUUCGGUCGUUGGUGGGGUAACUGCCUACCAAGACGACGAUCAGUACCCGGCCUGAGAGGGUGAACGGUCACAUUGGAACUGAGACACGGUCCAUGCUCCUACGGGAGGCAGCAGUGGGGAAUCUUGCACAAUGGGGGGAACCCUGAUGCAGCGACGCCGCGUGAGCGAUGAAGGUUUUCGAAUCGUAAAGCUCUGUCCUAUGGGAAGCGGUACCAUAGGAGGAAGCCCCGGCUAACUACGUGCCAGCCGCCGCGGUAAUUC